GUUAGGAAUAUUGGACAAUGGGCGCAAGCCUGAUCCAGCCAUGCUGCGUGCAGGAAGACGCAUCUAUGGUGUGUAAACUGCUUUUGUACGGGAAGAAACACUCCCUCGUGAGGGAGCUUGACGGUACCGUAAGAAUAAGGAUCGGCUAACUCCGUGCCAGCAGCCGCGGUAAUACGGAGGAUACAAGCGUUAUCCGGAAUCAUUGGGUUUAAAGGGUCCGUAGGCGGUUUAAUAAGUCAGUGGUGAAAGACCAUCGCUCAACGAUGGAACGGCCAUUGAUACUGUUAGACUUGAAUUACAAGGAAGUAACUAGAAUAUGUAGUGUAGCGGUGAAAUGCUUAGAUAUUACAUGGAAUACCAAUUGCGAAGGCAGGUUACUACUUGUGGAUUGACGCUGAUGGACGAAAGCGUGGGGAGCGAACAGGAUUAGAAACCCCUGUAGUCC
rnacentral:rRNA from 1 species